UGUAGGCUGAGGGCUCAGUGCAACAAAAACUUGAGUUGCUCACAGAACAGCUACUCUGAUUCAGAUGAAAGCUGGGGAGGACUUUGGUCUUUCUUGGAAAAUACUUGUGCUUUUUUGUUGAUUGUUCUUGUUCCCAACAGAGACAGAAGUGAACUAAUCUCCCAAACUGGGAUGCUCAGAGAUGUCCAAAGUGAGAUAGGACUGGCAAGAAUACAAUACACAGAUUAAUAAGGAAGUCAUUAAGGGAUAGAAAAGCUCUGAUGUGAUGGAGUGGCUUUUAGUUUGAAGAAAAAUAGAAUGUCUUGCUCCUGAGUACCCUGAACAAUGAAGAUGAAGAUACCUGUUCCAGAAAGUAGACUUGGACCCCCAAGUUGUUUCAUACUUAGGUCCUGGGAAAUUAAAUGCAAGGAGCCACUGUAAGGUGCUAGACCUGAAGUUCCCAUCCUGUGGUCCAAGAAAAGCUGGCACAUCACAUGCAUUUCAGAAAUGCACACUUUAUCAUUCAGUGAUUUACCAACCCAACGUUGAGAACUGAAAAGGAGGCAGACAGAUAUGUUCUUUACCUUUUAUGACAACUGGGGCCAGUUUCCUGUUCAACUUAAUCUAAACUCAAGAAUAAUAUUUUAUCUGCUCCUUCCAAAUUUCAAAACUUUAACAACAACAGCAACAAAAUGGAUAGAGGAUGCUGCCUUUUGCAUGCCAUGUGAAGAAGCCAGAGACAGAAUGGAACGGAAGUUGGCUGGGAAAUCUGAGAACAGGAACAUUUACUUUUGGCUCAGGAAGAGACCACAAGAUGCACUGUUUGUUACUGAAGUGAUAGUACUUUUGCCCUGGGCACCUUACUUCAGAGGAAAGAUGCUUCCCAAAACAGUUUUCAGCCACUGAUCUUUCAGCUCCGUGGUACGUAGAUUUGGAGUGGCAGAGUUGCACAUGAAGCAUGUAGGAUGAGGUGCCACGUGGCAACAGCUUUCUCUUCUGGCUGUGCUGAGGAGCUCUCAGCACACUGUACUCCCACCUGCCAUUGCAGCAGCUCAUGUGUGGAGGCACCUCUGGAGAACACCAGGUCCAAACCCCAGCCCAAAGCAGCGCCUCCUGGAACUACACAGGGCCAUGGCUGAGUGAGAUCACAAUGGUGGCUGAGAAAUCUUUGUUGCUCCCUUUUCUCCCAUCAGCAACACUCAUAUCCAGGCUGAAUAAAUCCUUCAACAGCAUUCUUUGCUUGUGGCCGUUUGAUGUGCUUCCAAGCAGCUACAAACAUGGGAGACACCCAAACUGCUUAGUGCCAGAAAGGCUGAAACUGCACUGCCAUGGGAGCCUGAACGGCAGAGGGGCCACCUGGCAGUGCCCUGCAGGACCCAAGGUGCUCACCCACCCACUACGCAAGAAGCUCCUCAUGUCCUUCCGCUCUGCGGUGGGCAGCACCUGGAGUGCCUUUCCUAGCUCUGAUUCUAUUCUUCUGCUCCAAAGCAACAAGCCAAACUCCCCACCAGCAUUCAACCUCUGUGCCAAAAAGAAAAUAACAAGAGUAAAAGCGCUGCACAACAGAAACACAUAGGACAGUGAAAAGGCUGGGAUUGCUGGGGAGUCCAGCAUAGUCGCGUCAGGGUGCUCAGGUCGGUGCUGCUGCAGCAUUCAUCCAGGCCAAUGGGGAAGGUAGGUGGUUGGUGGCUGUGAGCACCUCCCCUGGAUGGAAAAUGACACCUCUGCUCAGCUCUGGACAUUUCUGAAUGCCACAGGAGGUUGGGGAGACCAGCCCAGCUGGAAAGAGGGUAGACAUGCUCCAGCAUCAAUGCCAUCAGCUCUGACAAGGUCCUGGCUGGCUGCAGCACGCUGAUGUCCUCAUAAACCAAGGCUUUCUCUCUGAUGGCUGUGCAAACGAGAAGCUGGGCUUAACUGGAGCACAGUGCUGUUGCUGGCUUUAACUCUCCAAUGAACUCUCCAAUUCCCAUUUUCCCAGGGCAGUUCAGCGCCAGGGUAAAUCAGUGCAUGUGUGCAGCCCUGCUGCCAGCUGGCUGCUCCUGCCUGCAGCGGUGUCUGGUCACAGCUCUGGGGAUGUGCCCUGCAAGUCCCCCCUUGGCAGCACCUCCUGCCUGCCACGCUCACUUCCUUCAGCCUUUGCCUUUCUCCCUGCUCUGGUCCUCUGACUUCAGAACAUGGCUUUCUGUUUUAGUUCACUUCUGUAUUUAUACUGGGCCAAACUGACUGGAUACUUUCUGAACAGGGUGACCUAGGAGUUUUGAACAGACCAUCUUGUCAAAAGUUCUGUUAUUUCCCUUACCAAUGUGGUUUGAUUUGUUUUAUUUUCUUUUUUCUUGGUAAAACUGUCAAUAGGAACCACUUUUUGAAAGUCAGAAGAUGCAAAGCAGACCUUCCACAAGGAUUCCCCAAGGAGCAGAGAAUUUGAGGAUCACUGCGAAGGGCAUCAUUGCUCCUUGCUGUUCAUCCCAAACUGUCUUCAUUCUCUCACCCUGUGUAUUCCUGCACAACGGGACUGAGGGAAGUGCAUGAGAUCUAUUGCUGAACUGUGGUGUGGAUAAACUUUGUCUUCCUCAGCUAGCAUUCUGUCACCUUUCAAGAGUGAAAAAUUCAUUUUUAAAACAAAAAUCCCAAGUAAGAAACCUCACAUAGUUGCAGGAAACCACCACAGAGGUAUACAAUAUCCAGCGGAAGACCUUGCUGAAAACUGAACAGAUUACUCUUGUUAUAUGUGGUUAAACUGGGCCAUUAAUGCUAAAACAGUUCAAAGCACAAAAUAAAUUCUGAUUUUCUCCUGUCAAAGUUGGUGGUUUGGUGUUCACACAUUCUAGGCUCCGGUUAAAUGAUUUACUGUACAAUUUAAUGCCUUUCAGCUGUCACUAGCAUAAAAGGAUCCCUUGAAUGAUCUGCCAGUGAAUGAAGGCAGCACUUGCCCAGGGUGAAGUGUGGCCAGGGCUGCAGGACCCAACUUGCCAAGAUACUCAGGAACAAUCACGUAAGCCACUGUGACCCAUGUGUGGUACCCAGCGAAGUGAAGGCCACCUUGCUGUGAUCACAUCUGCAAAACCACUUCAUUUAAAGCAUACUGAGACGUUCACUCUGCUGUGGAACUUUUACGAGCAACUGCCUUUACAACAGCUCGCACCAUAGGCACGCUGCUAUUCUUUGUCCUUCUUUUGAACUCUUCUCUGCUCCUGGUCUUCCAGCGGUGUGAUUUUUUGAAGUUUUCCUUCACAAUAGCUUCUCAAAAUCCCAGUUCUCACAUAUCAACACAAAUAGGAGAAACAGUUGCCAUGGGACAGUGAAAAACAUAUUUCAGGAGCAAAGAAGGAAAUAAAAAAGGCACUGGAUUUCAGCAGUUACGUGUUGUAGUGUUUGACGUAGCUCUGAGUUCUUUGCUUUGUCUCUAGCUGCAGUGGUACUGUGCCUCUCAUGUUCAGCAGUGGGUGCACUCAGCAGUGGGUGCAGCUCUUAGCAGUGACCUCAUGGGGACACAGCAGUGCCCAGCACUGCAGCCAUGUUCUGUGGAACAGAGAGAAUACUGGUGUCACCUAAAACU
ensembl:lncRNA